rnacentral:lncRNA from 1 species
UUGGAGCUAAAACACCAACAAAACUGCGUACAAGACCUCAACAGAAACUCGACCAAACCUCCUCGAACUUGGCUACAACGGACACCUCGACUCGAUUCUUGGACUUUGGACUGGAAUGCUCGAAGGUUAUGGAGUAUUUUCAGGCGAUGUUCUUUCUCUAUUUCCAUCCAUUUCCAUCAUAGCAGUCAAAGGGAAAGAGGAGAAGAGGAGAAAGAAGAGCAGUGACCGUAUUAGAUUUCUCCGGCGAGUCCGGUGACGAGAAAGAGCGGCGGAGGCAUGGAUCUUCAAGAGGUGUCACGGCCGCGUUUGAUUUUUUUGUCUUUUGCCUCUGUGUGUGUGUUCCGGUAAGUGAGUGGUGAAGGGGUCGAGGAGAAGAUGAAGUCAGGAGGGUCGUCUGAAAGAGACCAUAUCCAGAGAGGGGAGGGGAGUCCGAAAAAUGGUCACAAACGGCGCCUCAUUUCCUAGAUCCCUAGGGUCUUCCGUCUAAUUAGAGCCUUUUGGCUUUUUGUGUAUCUUUGAUCUUUUUCAAAGAAAAACCGUGGGUCCUCCUGGUUUUUUCGGUGUUAGAUACUAUAUAUAGGGGUAGGGAUUAGGUUAGGGGUAUGUGCCUAGGAAUUAUGGGCUUGAGAAUUAUGGGCUAGGUCCAAAAUUAGACCUAAAAAUGGGUUGCUCAAGCCCAAGUUUUAUACUUUCUCCGCGAACGGGACUAAAAUACGACCUUAUUUAUUAAUUAGUCAUACUUAAAUAAAAUAACUAUUAAAAUAAGACUGACCAUUAAAACAAACUAUUUUUUCAAGGUUAAAAAUGACUAACAAAACAUUAAUGGUACAAUUUUUUGUAAUUUUUAUUUUCUUAUAUAAAAUAAAGUAAAAGAGUAAAUAUUAGUUGAAAUAGCUAUAUUAGGCCUAAAUUAAAUAUUUACGUGCUAAAAUAUAAAAAAUCUUGGGGAGCUGUCACACCUCCUUUUUACUACACCCCUGGAAGGGAGUAUAAAUGGGAGUUUUUUCCAAUUUAAAGUGACAAUCGAAACAGUAUUAUUUUAUUAAAAAUUCAGAGUCGCCACUUGGGAUAAUUUAUGGUGUCCCAAGUCACCGGUUCAAAUCCCGAAUCGAGAAAAAGAUUGAUUAUGUAUUACAGUCCGCGAACACAGAAAUCCGGGUAAGGAAUUCUGUUAACCCGGGGGAAGGUGUUAGGCAUCCCCGAAUUUCGUGGUUCUAUCAGGGUCGCUUAAACUAUUGUAAUUAGCCUAUUAUCUAAUUUAAUACAUGUUUUAGCCUAUGGUACAUUUUAGCUUAUUAACCGCUUUUAAUCAUUUUUAAGAAGAUUCAAUGUUAUCUAAAACACGCCUUGAACCACGUCACAUAAAAUGCACCCGCAGUCCACGACACAUUCUAUUUAACCUUGUUGGAAAUUAGAAUCGGGUCACAUGAAAUGCACACCCGGAUCCCUUAAAAAAAUAGUAAUGUGUUAUUUUUGACCGAACAGGUUAUCUAAAACGGAGUAAAUAUAUUCAAAUUUAGCAUGUAAACUAUCAAAGGCAAUAAACUCAUCCACUUACCCGUUCAAUUCAAUCCAACUACACCCCUGGAUCUUUUGCUAUUAUAUUUAUCUACUUCAACAAAAUCCAUUCUUAGAUUAUAUAAACAAACAUGGCAUCCUAACUUAAGAAACCAACAAUACAAGUACCCAUUAAAUAUAAAGAUAAAUAAGAUUCAGAUCACUUAAAGAGCAAAAAUAAGAAUUCAUUACAUGUGUGAAUAAACAUUCUUAAACUACCAAGAAGACACUCAAUCUUCAAAGAAGCAGAAUAACGAACCAAGUCUUUAGCAGACUUCAGGAACGAUAGAAACGAUUUGCACAUUCACACAAGAUCUACUUUAGAGACUAGCCAUACAAAUCUGAUCAAUCCCUCUUAACAACCCAACAUCAAUGAUCCAAUAACACCAAAAAUUGAUAAACAAAAUAAAAUCACACAUGAAAGCAUGCUAACAGAGAAGCGGGGAUCCGUCAACAACAUUCAUCAAGCUAUUGUCAUAAGAUGAGAUAAGAACAAAAAGAACCUUUUAUAGAUGCAUCUGAGCUUCGAUUUCUUGACAACUUUUGGAGAAAAAACACCAACAAAACUACGUACAAGACCUCAACAGAAACUUGUCCAAACCUCCUCGAACUCGGCUACAAUGAACACCUCAACUCGAUUCUUGGACUUUGGAUUGGAAUGCUCGAUGGUUAUGGAGUAUUUUCAGGCGAUGUUCUCUCUCUAUUGCCAUCCGUCUCCAUCAUAGCAGUCAAAGGGAAAGAGGAGACGAUGAGAAAGAAGAGCAGUGGCCGUAUUAGAUUUCUCCGGCGAGUCCGGUGACGAGAAAGAGCGGCGGCGGCAUGGAUCUUCAAGAGGUGUCAUGGCCGCGUUUGAUUUUUCUUUUCUUGUGCCUGUGUGUGUAUGUGUUCCGGCGAGUGGGUGGUGAAGGGGUCGAGGAGAAGAUGAAGUCAGGAGGGUUUUCUGAAAGAGAACAUAUCCAGAUUGGGGAGGGGAGUCCGAAAAAUGGUCACAAAUGGCGCCUCAUUUCCUAGAUCCCUAAGGUCUUCCGUCUGAUUAGAACCUUUUUGCUUUUUGUGUAUCUUUGUUCGUUUUCAGAGAAAAAACGCGGGUCCU